CCUGGGUGCGCAAGGGCCAGUCAGCGGCGGGGAAGUUGCCUACACACACAGAAUCGCUAUAGAUACAAACACCAAGGUUAGGACCUUCGCUCUCGUCAAGGAGCCUCCGUCAUAACAGUUCAAGCCCACUCAUUCUCCUCCAUGUGAUAAUACAGGUGUUGUUACCAUGGGGGAUGCGGAUGAAACUGCUUUGGUCUAAGCUGUGCUUUUCCGAGACAGAGUUGUUGAGAAUUCCGACUUACGCUGACUGGCUUCAUUUAUUAAGAUGUAGGCCAGCUUAGUAAAAUAAAAUACUGUAAGACAACGAAAAUAUAAAUAAUCUAAUAUUCUCUUUUUAUGAAGAAUAAGCUCUUCAUAAAUAGCGCAAUCUGCAAAAUUACCGAUAGUGACGUCAUGCAUUGUGCCUAAACCUUGUGCAUUGACCUUGGUAUAUUUUCAAAAACGGGUCGCUGGAUAUUUAAUGCCUAUUUGGUGGUUAUAUGC